CGAGCGCUGAAUGAAUCAUGCAGAACAGUUUGUAAAAACCCUGGAUACAGCCUCAGAGUAUGCAAGCUAUUUUCCUGGAAGAAGUUGCGUAGAAUUUCAUUAGUGGCAUGAAUCUGGUUUCCCUAGGUUUCCAGACGUUUCCACUUAAUUACAGGCCUCUUCAUGCAUGGGAUUUCAUUCUGUCUUGACAGGCUUCCUGUUUUCUUUCGGAAACUUUUUGAAGACCCUGUCGGCUCUAAGACUGAUCAUGAUGAAUCCCUUCUCUGCCUGUAUGGCACUCAUUAAGUGAUCCGCAUUCCAGCAGAAAUCCAUAUAGCCAACAGAAAGUAAGAAGGCAAGAACUGCUCCUGGAGCAGCACAAAGGUCUAUCUAGCAUCUGGUUCCAAAUCUCCACCUAGGUGUGGGGAUGGCUGACUUAAAGAAAGGUAUAAGAUUCUCAUAGUUGGGAGGUAAGGGAUAAUAUUUCUCAUUUUCUCCCCUCUCCUACUCCAGUAAGUCUGUUUUGUAUCUGUAAUAUUUAGGUUUUGGCUUAAGCUCUGAAGAAUGAAGCUGAACAACCAGGAUGUAUCUGUUAGCAAUAUUUAUAACUCUGGAUAUUCUUGAUAUCUGUAGGAAUAUCAAUCUUAUCAUAACCCCACUUAUUCAUCUCUGGCAGGAGUUGCCAGGUUCAGAUGCACAUGUCAUUAAUGAUGCAUAAGCUAUUGCAAAGAAAGAACAAAUGCUGGCUCAACAGCUGAGUGUCCCCAUGGAAAACAUCCAUGAGCAACCUUGGAUGGAUGUGGUAGUGCUGCACCAUUACCCAUGUCAAGUGGAGAGUCAGGAGACUCCUUAUCAGAGGCAAACACUUUGCAACACUAGUUUCAGGAUACAAUUUUCACCACCUGGAUCAGCAUGAAGUAUUCUUAUUUACCUACCAUGUGUUCCUG